UCCCUGGAGGACUAGUGGUUAGGCCACGACGCUCUCACCACCGUGAUCUGGGUUCAAAUCCCAGCCAGGGAA